rnacentral:rRNA from 1 species
CAAGAUAAGAUAUCCCAUAUCACAAGAUAGUAAGACCCCUUGAAGACUACAAGGUUGAUAGGUCGGGUGUGUAAGUGCAGUAAUGUACGUAGCUAACCGAUACUAAUAGGUCGAGGGCUUAUUCUC